UUUAAUAGUUCCAAUAUACCAAAGACAGCAACGGCUAUUAGCUUAAUAAUGUUGCCGAGGUAAAGUAAGUUAUUUAUAAAUAAUGACAAGCAUUACUCUUGUAUAUUGUUGACUAU
rfam:Firmicutes bacterium CAG:449 genomic scaffold, scf101